CAUACCAUUUGCAAAAGUAGACAACCCAAUGUAUUGCAAGUGGGGUAUGUCCAGUCUUUCUUAGUAGCCACUUACUCACAAACACUGGCCAAAUAUUAGUUUUUUGCUUUUUUCACACAAAAACAAAUAUGUUUCAAACUGGUUACAAAAACUUUGGCCAGUGUUUGUGACUAAGUGGCUACUAAAAAAGACUAAACAUACCACCCUUUUUUAAUACCUUGGGUUGUCUACUUUUUCAAAUGGUAUG
rnacentral:miRNA from 1 species